rnacentral:antisense_RNA from 1 species
CUUCAGGGACCCGAGGUACAGCGGGCGGUCCUCCGGCCGGUCCUGCCCGUACGUCGCCAGCAGGGCCUGCGCCUC